UACGUAGGGUCCGAGCGUUGUCCGGAAUUACUGGGCGUAAAGCGCGCGUAGGUGGUUUGUUAAGUUGGAUGUGAAAGCCCCGGGCCCAACCUGGGAACUGCAUUCAAAACUGACAAGCUAGAGUAUGGUAGAGGGUGGUGGAAUUUCCUGUGUAGCGGUGAAAUGCGUAGAUAUAGGAAGGAACACCAGUGGCGAAGGCGACCACCUGGACUGAUACUGACACUGAGGUGCGAAAGCGUGGGGAGCAAACAGG
rnacentral:rRNA from 1 species